rnacentral:rRNA from 1 species
GUGUCAGCAGCCGCGGUAAUACGAAGGAUCCAAGCGUUGUCCGGAUUUACUGGGUUUAAAGGGUGCGUAGGCGGAUUAUUAAGUCAGUGGUGAAAGCUUGCAGCUUAACUGUAAAAUUGCCAUUGAAACUGAUAAUCUCGAAUAUGGUUGAGGUGGUUGGAAUGUAUCAUGUAGCGGUGAAAUGCUUAGAUAUGAUACAGAACACCGAUUGCGAAGGCAGAUCACUAAACCAUUAUUGACGCUGAGGCACGAAAGCGUGGGGAUCAAACAGGAUUAGAUACCCCGGUAGUCC